rnacentral:rRNA from 1 species
CACGUAGGGCGCAAGCGUUGUCCGGAAUUAUUGGGCGUAAAGAGCUCGUAGGCGGUCUGUUGCGUCCGCUGUGAAAACUCGGGGCUUAACCCCGAGCCUGCAGUGGAUACGGGCAGACUAGAGGUAGGUAGGGAGAAUGGAAUUCCCGGUGUAGCGGUGAAAUGCGCAGAUAUCGGGAGGAACGACCGGUGGCGAAGGCG